rnacentral:rRNA from 1 species
AUUGAACGCUGGCGGUAGGCCUAACACAUGCAAGUCGAACGAGUGGCGGACGGGUGAGGAAUACAUCGGCAUCUACUCUGUCGUGGGGGAUAACGGAGGGAAACUUACGCUAAUACCGCAUACGAUUGAAUGAGCCGAUGUCGGAUUAUCUAGGUGGCGGGGUAAAGGCCCACCAAGGCGACGCUCCGUACCUGGUCUGAGAGUAUGAUCAGGCACAAGGGAACUGAGACACGGUCCAGACUCCUACGGGAGGCAGCAGUGGGGAAUAUUGGACAAUGGGCGAAAGCCUGAUCCAGCCAUACCGCGUGGGUGAAGAAGGCCUUCGGGUUGUAAAGCACUUUUGUUGGGAAAGCGGUACCCAAAGAAUAAGCACCGGCUAACUUCGUGCCAGCAGCCGCGGUAAUUC